CCGCAACUCCCCAGCCCUAGUUGGAAGAAGCCUGUCCUUCAUCUGAGUUCCCAACUACCUGAUCUGUUGUUGCUUGGUGGCCUGUCUGGUGGCUGUUUCAGCACCCCCACAUAAGGCACACACACGACUGUCACCCCCACAACCCACAGUGAGCCAGCCCCCUAUGGGUGGAACAUCCACAGUGACCAUAGAUUAACUGAGCAAGUGAAGGCAUCUCUGCCAUCCCUUGGGAGGAGAAAAAGCCAGAAAUGACAGUCCUGCCAGUCGACAGGAAGGAGGCAGAGAGUCAGAGCCCAGCCUCCCAGUGUGGCAAGGUGGUGCUCGGUGCAG
rnacentral:lncRNA from 1 species